UCAUCUCCAUCUCCAAAUUAGGGCUUUAGACUUCUCCUUAUUCAUCUCUGUUUACCGGACUAUGCGUUAAUCUCGUCGCGCUCUCGAAUUCGCUUGGUGCAGGUCGGGAACCGAUCUCGAUCGUACGUCUGGAGUUCACGGAUUGUCAGUUCCCUACUUGCACCAAGGGAAUUCGAGAAAAAACGGCGAAAAAAGAGCUCUUUUUUUCAUCUGGCAAUCCAUUGCGUUCUCUCUCUCUCUGAACGAUAAAGGAAUAUUGCAGCAAGGAAUCUAUGGAGCAACUUUUGUUAUAUCUCUUUGUGCUGUUGGAGUUAUGCCUGCUAUUAUUUUCCAUCCUUUGUCUUGUGGAAAUAACUUUUCUAAUACAGCAUGGAAUCUCAAUUGAAACAUCAACAUCUUUCUGUCAUCCUUCUCUUGUAAUUCAGCCCUUUUCUUGUCAGACUUCAGCUGAAGUUAUAUAUGCUGAAGGUGGUUCUGUGGUCCUCCUCCAUAUUUCUCAUAAUUUUAUGAAAUUUCAUAUCAUAUAUAUAUUUAUGAUA